rnacentral:rRNA from 1 species
AGUGGCGGACGGGUGAGUAAUGUCUGGGAAACUGCCUGAUGGAGGGGGAUAACUACUGGAAACGGUAGCUAAUACCGCAUACCAUCCGAUGUGCCCAGAUGGGAUUAGCUUGUUGGUGGGGUAACGGCUCACCAAGGCGACGAUCCCUAGCUGGUCUGAGAGGAUGACCAGACAAACUGGAACUGAGAAACGGGACAGACGCGUAAGGGAGGCAGCAGUGUGGAAUAUUGGAGAAGGGGAGCAAGCCUGAUGGAGCCAUGCCUAGUGGAUGAAGAAGGCUUUCGUGGGGUAAAGUACUUUAAGAGGUGAGGCGUUACCCGCAGAAGAAGCAACGGCUAACUCCGUGACAUCAGCAGCGGGAAUAC